UAGAAAUUUCAACCAUCAAACAAUAAAACAAAAAAAAAACAAAAAAAAAUAGUGUGUAUCAAAAAAAUAUCACAAAGAAUAAUAUGUCGUCAUCACAGUUCGCUAUCUUUUACAUCAUCUUAAUUUCUUUAUUUCCUUUUCAUGAAUUUGUCGAUGGCCAAAUUAUUGAACGCCCGUUCAUGCCACCUGAAAAAACUUGCACGGAAAUCCAAUGCCCCACAAAAAGUGACAAAGCCCGCAGGUGUUUUUGUUGUGGAGUUAACGAGGAGAGAAUAUGUUACGCGGACCCAAGACAGUGUGCGGCUGACUGUGGCAGAUGAACAUAAUAAGUUAUCUCAAGAACCUACAUCAAGGAUUUAAAAAACCAUGAUAACCGUUUUAAUACCUCCUAAUAUCUUUUUUUUUUGUUUUAUAUGAAUAACACAUGUUUAUUUGGAGGCCAA